GCUACGCGUUAGCAUAGAGGAGAAGUCAGCAGAGGUCAUAGUAGUUGGGGAUAGAUACACCUAAUGAAGGAC
rnacentral:ncRNA from 1 species